CCUACGGGAGGCAGCAGUGAGGAAUAUUGGUCAAUGGGCGCGAGCCUGAACCAGCGAAGCAGCGUGAAGGAUGACUGCCCUACGGGUUGUAAACUUCUUUUGUAAAGGAGUAAAGUGAGGCACGUGUGCCUUUUUGUAUGUACUUUAUGAAUAAGGAUCGGCUAACUCCGUGCCAGCAGCCGCGGUAAUACGGAGGAUCCGAGCGUUAUCCGGAUUUAUUGGGUUUAAAGGGAGCGUAGACGGGUUGUCAAGUCAGUUGUGAAAGUUUGUGGCUUAACCGUAGAAUUGCAAUUGAUACUGGCAGCCUUGAGUACAGGUGAGGUAGGUGGAAUUCGUGGUGUAGCGGUGAAAUGCUUAGAUAUCACGAAGAACUCCGAUGGCGAAGGCAGCCUACUAAACUGCCACUGACAUUGAUGCUCGAAAGUGUGGGGAUCAAACAGGAUUAGAUACCCUGGUAGUC
rnacentral:rRNA from 1 species